AGUGAACGCUGGCGGCGUGCUUAACACAUGCAAGUCGAACGGUAACAGCAGAGCUUGCUCUGGCUGACGAGUGGCGCACGGGUGAGUAAUAUAUAGUUAAUGUGCCCCGAAGACUGGGAUAGCCACUGGAAACGGUGAUUAAUACUAGAUAGUCCUGUUUAACAUAAGUUAAAUUGGUAAAUGUCUUUUCGCUUCGGGAUCAGACUAUAUCCUAUCAGCUAGUUGGUGAGGUAAGAGCUCACCAAGGCAAUGACGGGUAGCGGGUUUGAGAGGAUGAUCCGCCACACUGGUACUGAGACACGGACCAG
rnacentral:rRNA from 1 species